rnacentral:rRNA from 1 species
GAUGAACGCCGGCGGUGUGCCUAAUACAUGCAAGUCGAACGCGUUGGCCCAACUGAUUGAUUGUGCUUGCACAGGAUUGACGUUGGUUUCCCAACGAGUGGCGGACGGGUGAGUAACACGUAGGCAACCUGCCCCGAAGCGGGGGACAACAUUUGGAAACAAGUGCUAAUACCGCAUAACAACUUUGACCGCCUGGUCAAAGCUUAAAGGAUGGUUUCGGCUAUCACUUCGGGAUGGGCCUGCGGCGCAUUAGCUUGUUGGUGGGGUAACGGCCUACCAAGGCGAUGAUGCGUAGCCGAGUUGAGAGACUGAUCGGCCACAAUGGGGACUGAGACACGGGCCCAUACUCCUACGGGGAGGCAGCAGUAGGGAAUCUUCCACAAUGGGCGCAAGCCUGAUGGAGCAACACCGCGUGAGUGAAGAAGGGUUUCGGCUCGUAAAGCUC